GCCCGCCUAGCUCAAUCGGAUAGAGCGUCAGACUCUUAGGCGGGUUUCACCUGUGUGAUCUGAAGGCUGCGAGUUCGACCCUCGCGGUGGGCU